GCGACUGUAGCUCAGUUGGCAGAGCACUGGCUUGUGGUGCCGGGGGUCGCGGGUUCGAGCCCCGUCAGUCGCCCCA
rnacentral:tRNA from 1 species